AGCACCUUAACCUUAUGAAAGAUAUCAAUUUCAGGUAAAAAUCAAGUGUCAUGCAGGACAAUACUUUAAAAUUAUUUUUUAAACUAUCAUAGUGGGUGAGUCAUCAAACCAAAGCCAUAGAACACUACAGUCAAAUAUGCCCUCAAAUUGAAUUUGCGGAUACUUCAGGUUUUUUAUAGACUACUCGUUGCUUAUGGGUUUUUUUCACAAUUAUUACUGCUACCAUAGUAUUAUCUUUUGUUGUGUAUUUAACUCUGGUUAAUAUCUAUUACAUUAUAGGUUUUGUAACUAUAUCCCCCCUUUUUUCCCUUGCAACGUACCCCAAACUUCAAAAGUAUUCCAUAUAAAAAAAAGAAGAUGUGAUAUGAUUGCAAAUGAGACAACUCUCCAAAUGAGACCAAAUGAGACAUAAAACAAUUAUAGGUCCCGUACGGGCUUCAACAAUGAGUAAAAUUCAUACUGCAUAGUCUUCAAUUCCCGAAAUGAAUAAUGUAAAACAAACAAAAAAUCUAACGACCUGAUUAAUGUACAAAAUAAAUAAGAAACAAACAAAUAUAGUAUAUAGAAACAAACGACAAACACUGCAUUACCGUCUCGUGACUUGAAACAGACACAUACAGAUAGUGGCGGGGUUUAACUUUUUUAAGGGCACGCCAACACUCCCCUAACUUCGGGACUGGAACCGUGUGUACCAGUGCAACAAGCUUUAUACCAAAUCAACCGUUAUCUCCAUCAUCUUCAUUUUCAUCAACCGUCACAAGACAUGUUUUAAUAUUUCUACACAUUUCACUCAUGGCCACAGGUCUGCACAUGAAAGGUUCUGCUCAAAGCAAACACGUUAUUUUGAGUUUUUC
rnacentral:lncRNA from 1 species